rnacentral:rRNA from 1 species
UCCUACGGGAGGCAGCAGUAGGGAAUCUUCCGCAAUGGACGAAAGUCUGACGGAGCAACGCCGCGUGAGUGAUGAAGGCUUUCGGGUCGUAAAACUCUGUUGUUAGGGAAGAACAAGUGCUAGUUGAAUAAGCUGGCACCUUGACGGUACCUAACCAGAAAGCCACGGCUAACUACGUGCCAGCAGUCGCGGUAAUACGUAGGUGGCAAGCGUUAUCCGGAAUUAUUGGGUGUAAAGCGCGCGCAGGUGGUUUCUUAAGUCUGAUGUGAAAGCCCACGGCUCAACCGUGGAGGGUCAUUGGAAACUGGGAGACUUGAGUGCAGAAGAGGAAAGUGGAAUUCCAUGUGUAGCGGUGAAAUGCGUAGAGAUAUGGAGGAACACCAGUGGCGAAGGCGACUUUCUGGUCUGUAACUGACACUGAGGCGUGAAAGCGUGGGGAGCAAACAGGAUUAGAUACCCUGGUAGUCCACGCCGUAAACGAUGAGUGCUAAGUGUUAGAGGGUUUCCGCCCUUUAGUGCUGAAGUUAACGCAUUAAGCACUCCGCCUGGGGAGUACGGCCGCAAGGCUGAAACUCAAAGGAAUUGACGGA